ACCGUGAGGAAGGUGGGGAUGACGUCAAGUCAGCACGGCCCUUAUGUCCAGGGCUACACACGUGCUACAAUGGCAUCUACAGUGAGCAGCGAUCCCGCGAGGGUUAGCUAAUCUCCAAAAGAUGUCUCAGUUCGGAUUGUUCUCUGCAACUCGAGAGCAUGAAGGCGGAAUCGCUAGUAAUCGCGGAUCAGCAUGCCGCGGUGAAUACGUUCCCAGGCCUUGUACACACCGCCCGUCACACCAUGGGAGUUGGAUUCACCCGAAGGCGGUGCGCUAACCUUUUAGGAGGCAGCCGACCACGGUGGGUUCAGCGACUGGGGUGAAGUCGUAACAAGGUAACCUUAAUA
rnacentral:rRNA from 1 species